UGUGAGGCACCUGACGGGAACGUUCGUAUAGUACGAGAGGAACUACGAACGGUCGCCACUGGUGUACCGGUUGUCCGGAAGGGCAGAUGCCGGGAAGCUACGCGACACGGGGUAAGAGCUGAACGCAUCUAAGCUCGAAACCCACCUGGAAAAGAGGUGCCGUAGAGAUCACUCGUAGAAGACGAGUUCGAUAGAUUCGGGGUGUACGCGUCAAGGCAACGAGACGUUCAGCCCGCGAGCACUAACAGGUC
rnacentral:ncRNA from 1 species